GUGCAGCAGGCGAGAAUUUUUCUCAAUGGGCGAAAGCCUGAAGGAGCGACGCCGCGUGGAGGAUGAAGGCUUUCGGGUCGUAAACUCCUGUCAUUUGAGAACAAGUGUAGCCAAAUAACUACUGGCUGCUUGAUAGUAUCAGAAGAGGAAGGGACGGCUAACUCUGUGCCAGCAGCCGCGGUAAUACAGAGGUCCCAAGCGUUGUUCGGAUUCAUUGGGCGUAAAGGGUGCGUAGGUGGCGCCGUAAGUGGGGUGUGAAAUUUCGGAGCUUAACUCCGAAACUGCAUUCCAUACUGCGGUGCUUGAGGACUGGAGAGGAGACUGGAAUUCAUGGUGUAGCAGUGAAAUGCGUAGAGAUCAUGAGGAAGACCAGUGGCGAAGGCGGGUCUCUGGACAGUUCCUGACACUGAGGCACGAAGGCCAGGGGAGCAAACGGGAUUAGAUGUCCGCGUAGU
rnacentral:rRNA from 1 species